rnacentral:rRNA from 1 species
GGCGAACGCUGGCGGCAGGCUUAACACAUGCAAGUCGAACGCCAUCUUCGGAUGGAGUGGCAGACGGGUGAGUAACGCGUGGAAACAUACCUUUUGCUUCGGAAUAUUCCCGGGAAACUGGGAGCAAUACCGAAUACGCCCUGAGGGGGAAAGAUUUAUCGGCAAAAGAUUGGUCCGCGUUAGAUUAGGUAGUUGGUAGGGUAAUGGCCUACCAAGCCUACGAUCUAUAGCUGGUCUGAGAGGAUGAUCAGCCACAUUGAGACUGAGACACGGCCCAAACUCCUACGGGAGGCAGCAGUGGGGAAUAUUGGACAAUGGGCGAAAGCUUGAUCCAGCCAUGCCGCGUGAAUGAUGAAGGCCUUAGGGUUGUAAAAUUCUUUCACCGGGGACGAUAAUGACGGUACCCGGAGAAGAAGCCCCGGCUAACUUCGUGCCAGCCGCCGCCGUAA